UUUCUUCUCGGACACAGGUCGCGUUUUGAUGCAAAUAAAAAAACUGUUGUCAAGGACAAUAAAAGUCUUGGCUUCCUGCAAAUAGCAAAAUUGAGAUAAGGAAGCAAACUUCACAGCAACAUAGCUGAGUGGGGCUCAGCUCCAGUGCCCGACCGCUUAGGUUUCACAGCUCCACCUCCACCAUCGGACUACCCCUGGACUUUACCCAAGAGAAAGCGAUUGGAGAGUUGCCUAAUCCUGGUAUCAUGUUUCCGGCUAUGACAGGAAGAGAGAGAUCAUAAUAGAUAAAAAUGGAAAAUGAUGUGAAAAAAUCAAAUACUUCUAAGAAAGACAAAAUGCAAGACUCAGCUGUGGGAACUGCAUGCAACAGAAACUGCAAAUGGCAUGUGAAAGUUUCCUAAUUAAAAAAUAAACCAUAUGAGUGAUCGUCUGCUUAAUGUCUUCCUCCUCACUGGAAUACAGGGUCCAUAACAGCAGAGACCCUGUCUCUCAUU